rnacentral:rRNA from 1 species
CACGGACCGCACGAACGUUAUUCGGUAUCACUGGGCUUAAAGGGUGCGUAGGCGGCUUGGCAAGUUGGGUGUGAAAGCCCUCGGCUCAACCGAGGAAUUGCGCUCAAAACUGCCGAGCUCGAGAGAGACAGAGGUAAGCGGAACUGAUGGUGGAGCGGUGAAAUGCGUUGAUAUCAUCAGGAACACCGGUGGCGAAGGCGGCUUACUGGGUCUUUUCUGACGCUGAGGCACGAAAGCCAGGGGAGCGAACGGG